AUUGAACGCUGGCGGCAUGCCUUACACAUGCAAGUCGAGCGGCAGCGCGGGGGCAACCCUGGCGGCGAGCGGCGAACGGGUGAGUAAUGCAUCGGAACGUGUCCUUUUGUGGGGGAUAACCAGUCGAAAGACUGGCUAAUACCGCAUGAGCUCGAGAGAGGAAAGCAGGGGACCGCAAGGCCUUGCGCGAGAGGAGCGGCCGAUGCCCGAUUAGCUAGNGGUGAGGUAACGGCUCACCAAGGCGACGAUCGGUAGCUGGUUUGAGAGAACGACCAGCCACACUGGGACUGAGACACGGCCCAGACUCCUACGGGAGGCGA
rnacentral:rRNA from 1 species